CCUACGGGAGGCAGCAGUGAGGAAUAUUGGUCAAUGGACGGGAUUCUGAACCAGCCAUGUAGCGUGCAGGAUGACUGCCCUAUGGGUUGUAAACUUCUUUUGUAUCGGAGUAAAAUGUUCCACGAGUGGGGUUUUGUAUGUACCAUAUGAAUAAGGAUCGGCUAACUCCGUGCCAGCAGCCGCGGUAAUACGGAGGAUCCGAGCGUUAUCCGGAUUUAUUGGGUUUAAAGGGAGCGUAGGUUGAUUGUUAAGUCAGUUGUGAAAGUUUGAGGCUCAACCUUAAAAUUGCCGCUGAUACUGGAAGACUAGAGAACAGUAGCGGCGGGCGGAAUGCGUGGUGUAGCGGUGAAAUGCUUAGAUAUCACGAAGAACUCCGAUUGCGAAGGCAGCUCACUGGACCGCAACUGACACUGAGGCUCGAAAGUGUGGGGAUCAAACAGGAUUAGAUACCCGGGUAGUC
rnacentral:rRNA from 1 species